rnacentral:rRNA from 2 species
GCGAACUGGUGAGUAACACGUGGGAAACCUGCCCAGAAGCGGGGGAUAACACCUGGAAACAGAUGCUAAUACCGCAUAACAACUUGGACCGCAUGGUCCGAGCUUGAAAGAUGGCUUCGGCUAUCACUUUUGGAUGGUCCCGCGGCGUAUUAGCUAGAUGGUGGGGUAACGGCUCACCAUGGCAAUGAUACGUAGCCGACCUGAGAGGGUAAUCGGCCACAUUGGGACUGAGACACGGCCCAAACUCCUACGGGAGGCAGCAGUAGGGAAUCUUCCACAAUGGACGAAAGUCUGAUGGAGCAACGCCGCGUGAGUGAAGAAGGGUUUCGGCUCGUAAAACUCUGUUGUUAAAGAAGAACAUAUCUGAGAGUAACUGUUCAGGUAUUGACGGUAUUUAACCAGAAAGCCACGGCUAACUACGUGCCAGCAGCCGCGGUAAUACGUAGGUGGCAAGCGUUGUCCGGAUUUAUUGGGCGUAAAGCGAGCGCAGGCGGUUUUUUAAGUCUGAUGUGAAAGCCUUCGGCUCAACCGAAGAAGUGCAUCGGAAACUGGGAAACUUGAGUGCAGAAGAGGACAGUGGAACUCCAUGUGUAGCGGUGAAAUGCGUAGAUAUAUGGAAGAACACCAGUGGCGAAGGCGGCUGUCUGGUCUGUAACUGACGCUGAGGCUCGAAAGUAUGGGUAGCAAACAGGAUUAGAUACCCUGGUAGUCCAUACCGUAAACGAUGAAUGCUAAGUGUUGGAGGGUUUCCGCCCUUCAGUGCUGCAGCUAACGCAUUAAGCAUUCCGCCUGGGGAGUACGGCCGCAAGGCUGAAACUCAAAGGAAUUGACGGGGGCCCGCACAAGCGGUGGAGCAUGUGGUUUAAUUCGAAGCUACGCGAAGAACCUUACCAGGUCUUGACAUACUAUGCAAAUCUAAGAGAUUAGACGUUCCCUUCGGGGACAUGGAUACAGGUGGUGCAUGGUUGUCGUCAGCUCGUGUCGUGAGAUGUUGGGUUAAGUCCCGCAACGAGCGCAACCCUUAUUAUCAGUUGCCAGCAUUAAGUUGGGCACUCUGGUGAGACUGCCGGUGACAAACCGGAGGAAGGUGGGGAUGACGUCAAAUCAUCAUGCCCCUUAUGACCUGGGCUACACACGUGCUACAAUGGAUGGUACAACGAGUUGCGAACUCGCGAGAGUAAGCUAAUCUCUUAAAGCCAUUCUCAGUUCGGAUUGUAGGCUGCAACUCGCCUACAUGAAGUCGGAAUCGCUAGUAAUCGCGGAUCAGCAUGCCGCGGUGAAUACGUUCCCGGGCCUUGUACACAC